CCUACGGGAGGCAGCAGUGGGGAAUAUUGCGCAAUGGGCGAAAGCCUGACGCAGCGACGCCGCGUGAGGGAUGAAGGUCUUCGGAUCGUAAACCUCUGUCAGCAGGGAAGAACGGUCACUGUGCUAAUCAGCAGUGAAUUGACGGUACCUGCAAAGGAAGCACCGGCUAACUCCGUGCCAGCAGCCGCGGUAAUACGGAGGGUGCGAGCGUUAAUCGGAAUUACUGGGCGUAAAGCGCUCGUAGGCGGUAUGUCAAGUCAAGGGUGAAAUCCCCGCGCUCAACGUGGGAACUGCCUGUGAAACUGGCAAACUGGAGUGUGUGAGAGGAUAGUGGAAUUCCAGGUGUAGGAGUGAAAUGCGUAGAUAUCUGGAGGAACAUCAGUGGCGAAGGCGACUAUCCGGCACAUAACUGACGCUGAGGAGCGAAAGCGUGGGUAGCAAACAGGAUUAGAUACCCGGGUAGUC
rnacentral:rRNA from 1 species